ACUUGAAAAACAACAUAAAUGUGCAAAGCUAGGGUAAAGUAAUUAAUUAAUUUUGGAGAUGAAAUAUAGUUCUUACAAUUCCACAAUGUUUUGCUUCUCAGUAAGGUGAAUUGUUCAAUAUGCUGCUGCAUUUAAAGUCUUCGAGACAUAAAUAGGUCGAAUUUUCCACUCCUUUUUGCUAGAUUUGGGUUGCAGCAACCAUGAAUUUGACAUUUGAAUCGGAAUUUUACUUCGAGACCAAAAAGAAGCUAUACACCCGAUAUCACCACAGAGUAAGCUCCGAUCCGUUUUUUGGCUCCAUUUCCAUUUCCCUUUCUCACCUUAAAGUUAAUUUCAAAGGGACAUAUCCAUUUUUUCAGUUUUUU
rnacentral:lncRNA from 1 species